CCUUUUCUGGUCUCAGUGGGAGAGGAUGCACCCUGCAACUUGAUGUGCCAAGGCAGUUUGGUACACACUGGGGUGAAGAGGGGGUUCCCUUCUUAGAGGUUAAAGGGAGUAUGGAGGGAGGGCAGUAUGAGAGUGGGAAUGGGUGAAGAGGAGGAUGAAAAGUGAAUAAAUAAAUAAAAAAGAAAGAAACCAAAGAACUUCAUGGGGACAUUCAUGUGAUUCUUUGGCUAAGAAUAUGUUUUAUAACUCUGUUCAGAUCCUGAGAAGCUAUGUGAAGUUGAACUGAAAGACACUGAACUAAUUUGUUAAGUAGGCCUGUGAUCAACGUAAAGUGUCAGACCACAAGAGGGCAGACAACAAACCAGGCUGUAAUGUCCCCAGCCUGAAACCUGUUUGCUCAGGUUUCAGAAGAGAGCAUCGAGGCAGAGCUUGGCGCCCUAUCGUUCUGCCACUCCCACUGCCAAUGCCUGCUGCCUUGCUGUUCUGGAGUCAAACACGUGAUCACCUGCAACUUUACUUCAAGAUGAUUUGGCGGGAAAGGGCCCCUUCCCCUGCUUCACAGCCAAGUGUUGGAAAUUAGUAAAAUCGAACCUUAAUCAGACUGGUUGUCUUGGUUCCAUCUUUAUUGCGCCGCCUAGCCCACCCCCCUCUUCUCUUGCAGAUUCCAAGAUGCCUUUCCAGACUAGAACCCAGACAUGUGACCCGCUGGUCAUCCACAACAGAUCUGGCGCCCACGCGGGACUGGGAAACUGCAGAGGACAUUUGGAAGAAGCACUGCUAGUUUGGAGCUCUAUGAAAGAAGAAAAUAAUUAAAGGAAAUUCGUACUGGAGAAGGUAGGUAUGGGCUAAGUUGAAACAGCGUUAAACCUGAGCGCUAAUUUGCUUAGGUUCAGCAGUGAGGUUUAUCAGGGACUAGGAACAUAACAGGCGGUUAGCCGUAGCUCCCAGAAGCUACAUUUUUAGG
rnacentral:lncRNA from 1 species